rnacentral:rRNA from 1 species
GGCCUACGGGUGGCUGCAGUCGAGGAUCUUCGGCAAUGGGCGAAAGCCUGACCGAGCGACGCCGCGUGCGGGAUGAAGGCCUUCGGGUUGUAAACCGCUGUCGUAGAGGAGGAAGUGCAGGGGGGUUCUCCCCUUUGCUUGACCUAUUCUAGGAGGAAGGACGGGCUAAGUUCGUGCCAGCAGCCGCGGUAAGACGAACCGUCCAAACGUUACUCGGAAUUACUGGGCUUAAAGGGUGCGUAGGCUGCGCGGAAAGUUGGGUGUGAAAGCCCUCAGCGCAACUGGGGAAUUGCAUUCAAAACUGCCGUGCUCGAGGGAGACAGAGGUAAGCGGAACUCAAGGUGGAGCGGUGAAAUGCGUUGAUAUCUUGAGGAACACCGGUGGCGAAAGCGGCUUACUGGGUCUCUUCUGACGCUGAGGCACGAAAGCUAAGGUAGCAAACGGGAUUAGAUACCCUGGUAGUCUC